rnacentral:rRNA from 1 species
UACGUAGGAGACGAGCGUUGUCCGGAAUUACUGGGCAUAAAGCGCGUGUAGGCGGAUGAGCAAGUCUGCUGUGAAAGCUCCUGGCUUAACCGGGAGUGGUCGGUGGAAACUGCUCGUCUGGAGGACGGUAGAGGUAGGUAGAAUUCCCGGUGUAGUGGUGAAAUGCGCAGAUAUCGGGAAGAACACCCGUGGCGAAGGCGGUUCUCUGGGACGGUACUGACGCUGAGACGCGAAAGCGUGGGGAGCGAACAGG